rnacentral:rRNA from 1 species
UUAAGCGACUAAGCGUACACGGUGGAUGCCCUGGCAGUCAGAGGCGAUGAAGGACGUGCUAAUCUGCGAUAAGCGUCGGUGAGGUGAUAUGAACCGUUAUAACCGGCGAUUUCCGAAUGGGGAAACCCAGUGUGUUUCGACACACUAUCAUUAACUGAAUCCAUAGGUUAAUGAGGCGAACCGGGGGAACUGAAACAUCUAAGUACCCCGAGGAAAAGAAAUCAACCGAGAUUCCCCCAGUAGCGGCGAGCGAACGGGGAGGAGCCCAGAGCCUGAAUCAGUGUGUGUGUUAGUGGAAGCGUCUGGAAAGGCGUGCGAUACAGGGUGACAGCCCCGUACACAAAAAUGCACAUACUGUGAGCUCGAUGAGUAGGGCGGGACACGUGGUAUCCUGUCUGAAUAUGGGGGGACCAUCCUCCAAGGCUAAAUACUCCUGACUGACCGAUAGUGAACCAGUACCGUGAGGGAAAGGCGAAAAGAACCCCGGCGAGGGGAGUGAAAAAGAACCUGAAACCGUGUACGUACAAGCAGUGGGAGCCUCUUAAUGGGGUGACUGCGUACCUUUUGUAUAAUGGGUCAGCGACUUAUAUUCUGUAGCAAGGUUAACCGAAUAGGGGAGCCGAAGGGAAACCGAGUCUUAACUGGGCGUUAAGUUGCAGGGUAUAGACCCGAAACCCGGUGAUCUAGCCAUGGGCAGGUUGAAGGUUGGGUAACACUAACUGGAGGACCGAACCGACUAAUGUUGAAAAAUUAGCGGAUGACUUGUGGCUGGGGGUGAAAGGCCAAUCAAACCGGGAGAUAGCUGGUUCUCCCCGAAAGCUAUUUAGGUAGCGCCUCGUGAAUUCAUCUCCGGGGGUAGAGCACUGUUUCGGCAAGGGGGUCAUCCCGACUUACCAACCCGAUGCAAACUGCGAAUACCGGAGAAUGUUAUCACGGGAGACACACGGCGGGUGCUAACGUCCGUCGUGAAGAGGGAAACAACCCAGACCGCCAGCUAAGGUCCCAAAGUCAUGGUUAAGUGGGAAACGAUGUGGGAAGGCCCAGACAGCCAGGAUGUUGGCUUAGAAGCAGCCAUCAUUUAAAGAAAGCGUAAUAGCUCACUGGUCGAGUCGGCCUGCGCGGAAGAUGUAACGGGGCUAAACCAUGCACCGAAGCUGCGGCAGCGACGCUUAUGCGUUGUUGGGUAGGGGAGCGUUCUGUAAGCCUGUGAAGGUGUGCUGUGAGGCAUGCUGGAGGUAUCAGAAGUGCGAAUGCUGACAUAAGUAACGAUAAAGCGGGUGAAAAGCCCGCUCGCCGGAAGACCAAGGGUUCCUGUCCAACGUUAAUCGGGGCAGGGUGAGUCGACCCCUAAGGCGAGGCCGAAAGGCGUAGUCGAUGGGAAACAGGUUAAUAUUCCUGUACUUGGUGUUACUGCGAAGGGGGGACGGAGAAGGCUAUGUUGGCCGGGCGACGGUUGUCCCGGUUUAAGCGUGUAGGCUGGUUUUCCAGGCAAAUCCGGAAAACCAAGGCUGAGGCGUGAUGACGAGGCACUACGGUGCUGAAGCGACAAAUGCCCUGCUUCCAGGAAAAGCCUCUAAGCAUCAGGUAACAUCAAAUCGUACCCCAAACCGACACAGGUGGUCAGGUAGAGAAUACCAAGGCGCUUGAGAGAACUCGGGUGAAGGAACUAGGCAAAAUGGUGCCGUAACUUCGGGAGAAGGCACGCUGAUAUGUAGGUGAAGCGACUUGCUCGUGGAGCUGAAAUCAGUCGAAGAUACCAGCUGGCUGCAACUGUUUAUUAAAAACACAGCACUGUGCAAACACGAAAGUGGACGUAUACGGUGUGACGCCUGCCCGGUGCCGGAAGGUUAAUUGAUGGGGUUAGCGGUAACGCGAAGCUCUUGAUCGAAGCCCCGGUAAACGGCGGCCGUAACUAUAACGGUCCUAAGGUAGCGAAAUUCCUUGUCGGGUAAGUUCCGACCUGCACGAAUGGCGUAAUGAUGGCCAGGCUGUCUCCACCCGAGACUCAGUGAAAUUGAACUCGCUGUGAAGAUGCAGUGUACCCGCGGCAAGACGGAAAGACCCCGUGAACCUUUACUAUAGCUUGACACUGAACAUUGAGCCUUGAUGUGUAGGAUAGGUGGGAGGCUUUGAAGUGUGGACGCCAGUCUGCAUGGAGCCGACCUUGAAAUACCACCCUUUAAUGUUUGAUGUUCUAACGUUGGCCCGUAAUCCGGGUUGCGGACAGUGUCUGGUGGGUAGUUUGACUGGGGCGGUCUCCUCCUAAAGAGUAACGGAGGAGCACGAAGGUUGGCUAAUCCUGGUCGGACAUCAGGAGGUUAGUGCAAUGGCAUAAGCCAGCUUGACUGCGAGCGUGACGGCGCGAGCAGGUGCGAAAGCAGGUCAUAGUGAUCCGGUGGUUCUGAAUGGAAGGGCCAUCGCUCAACGGAUAAAAGGUACUCCGGGGAUAACAGGCUGAUACCGCCCAAGAGUUCAUAUCGACGGCGGUGUUUGGCACCUCGAUGUCGGCUCAUCACAUCCUGGGGCUGAAGUAGGUCCCAAGGGUAUGGCUGUUCGCCAUUUAAAGUGGUACGCGAGCUGGGUUUAGAACGUCGUGAGACAGUUCGGUCCCUAUCUGCCGUGGGCGCUGGAGAACUGAGGGGGGCUGCUCCUAGUACGAGAGGACCGGAGUGGACGCAUCACUGGUGUUCGGGUUGUCAUGCCAAUGGCACUGCCCGGUAGCUAAAUGCGGAAGAGAUAAGUGCUGAAAGCAUCUAAGCACGAAACUUGCCCCGAGAUGAGUUCUCCCUGACCCUUUAAGGGUCCUGAAGGAACGUUGAAGACGACGACGUUGAUAGGCCGGGUGUGUAAGCGCAGCGAUGCGUUGAGCUAACCGGUACUAAUGAACCGUGAGGCUUAACCUU